AUUGAACGCUGGCGGCAGGCUUAACACAUGCAAGUCGAGCGGGGAGAUGUAGCUUGCUACAUUUCCUAGCGGCGGGCGGGUGAGUAAUGCUUAGGAAUCUGCCUAUUAGUGGGGGACAACAUUCCGAAAGGAAUGCUAAUACCGCAUACGCCCUACGGGGGAAAGCAGGGGAUCUUCGGACCUUGCGCUAAUAGAUGAGCCUAAGUCAGAUUAGCUAGUUGGUGGGGUAAAGGCCUACCAAGGCGACGAUCUGUAGCGGGUCUGAGAGGAUGAUCCGCCACACUGGGACUGAGACACGGCCCAGACUCCUACGGGAGGCAGCAGUGGGGAAUAUUGGACAAUGGGCGCAAGCCUGAUCCAGCCGUGCCGCGUGUGUGAAGAAGGCCUUUUGGUUGUAAAGCACUUUAAGCGAGGAGGAGGCUACUUGGAUUAAUACUCUAGGAUAGUGGACGUUACUCGCAGAAUAAGCACCGGCUAACUCUGUGCCAGCAGCCGCAGUAA
rnacentral:rRNA from 1 species